AUGCUUUCUUCGCAGCACACAUCCUAGAAUUGGAAUCAUACAGAAAAAAUUAGCAUGGCCCCCGCCCAAAGGAUGGCAUGCAAAUUCAUGAAGCCUUCCAUAGUUCU
ensembl:snRNA U6 U6 spliceosomal RNA